UGAGUGUCUGUCUGUCUGCCUUCCGGAUCGUGACCCUCACCUAAGUACAAAGUCUUGCACAUGGGGGAAGAAAACUUACAUUUAUUUUGUCUUCCCUUAUUUGCUUGGCCACAGUGCUAAGUGCUUUAAAUAUGUGAUUUCAUUUAAUUCUGAAUGUUAUGCUACCUGGUAGACAAUAUCCCCUUUUUCUUAGCUGAAAAUAAAGCUCAGAGUGGUGUAAGUACAGCCAUAGGCCACAUAACAUUUCACUCAACAGGGUAACUGUAUAUAUGACGUGG
rnacentral:lncRNA from 10 species